rnacentral:tRNA from 1 species
UCCGAUAUGGUGUAGUGGCUAACAUUAUCGCCUCUCAAUUCGUGUAGCGCGAUAGCCCGGGGUUCGAUUCCCCGUGUCGGAA